rnacentral:rRNA from 1 species
UGGUGGAGUGAUUUGUCUGGUUAAUUCCGUUAACGAACGAGACCUCAGCUUACUAAAUAGUGAUAUGUAUUGCUUUAUGAGUGAAUACAUAGACCACUUCUUAGAGGGACUUUUCAUUCUUCAGUGAAAGGAAGUUUGAGGCGAUAACA